rfam:Candidatus Altiarchaeum sp. CG2_30_32_3053 cg_3.0_sub100_scaffold_123_c, whole genome shotgun sequence.
GCCUCAGUAGCUCAGGGGUAGAGCGACUGCCUCGUAAGUAGUAGGUCAAGGGUUCAAUUCCCUUCUGGGGCU